rnacentral:lncRNA from 1 species
AUGAUGUACUGCUCUCCCCCAAGACCAAGAAUCUGCAGAUGGAAACCUCUGCAACCAAGGACCAAACAAACCUCCCCACUCACCAACUGGUUUCAACCUCCCCACUCAUCAGCUGCUUUUUUUCUCACCAUUUUGUUUCAGAAAUAGAAAGUUGACACAUCUGGGCUUUCAUGACUGUGAAGACAGGGCUUAGAGAAGGAUUGCCCAAAGUGUCUUACCUCACUAUCUAACCUAUCACUCAGAACGCUCUUAGAAUUCCAACUUGCUGACGGGGAGGAGAGGUUUCCAACUCGCCAUGCAUAGCAAAAGGGAGCUCGUGGUUUUCCCUUCUCUUCCCACCUGGCUCCAGCUUGUAUCCUCCAUCCCUGUGUCACGUACCCCCAUCCCUGUAAAUGCAUUUGUGUUAGAAGGGGAACACUAUGCCUCCUGAAGGACUCGCUGUCCCUCUCCAUUGGAUUUGCCCAUCCAUACUAGUUUGAUAGCCCCGCUGAGAACACCUUUUGGGUAGAUUGCCACUGGUCCUUGGCUGCAACCAGCUCUUACUCAAUAUUUCUAUGAUCUUUCCCAAGAAGGAGAGAGGUUUCCCCUCCCCCACCAGCCCCCACCUUGGUCUGGUACAACAUCUCAGCUUCAGCCUUGCUCUUGAGCGCGAUGUCCUCGUAGUGGGCACGGACUUCAGCAAUGAUGCCGGCCAGGUCCAGAUCUCGAUUGUUGUCCAUGGACAGGAUGACAGAGGUCUCACUAGCAUGAGUCUGGAGCUGGGAAAUCUCCUGGAUUGUGGAUGGAAACAGGAUCAGUGCCCCCAGAUCCUCUCCUCUCCUCCAUCAGGCUUCUGUGAUCUCGGACAGAGUUGGUCACACUUGUCUGUGCAAGAGUCUUUAUCUGAUGUGGUAUUAAGUCCCACCCACACCCACUGAUGUCCCUUUGGGAAGCUAUCAACUGGAUUGAGGCAGAACAGUGGGGGAAAGACGUGUCCUCACUUCAUCGUACAGACACUUGAGAAAUUUGAUGUCUUUGUCCAGAGAGUCCACCUUGUCUUGAAGUUCCACCUUGACUGUGUAGGCUGCAUCUGCGUCCUGCCAAGAGGCCCCAUGACAUCAUCAACACAUCCAUCUCUCAUCCCACCAAUCACCCUGCUUCUGCUGCUGCCCUGUCCUGAAGGCAUCUGACUUGCCCAGUCACUUCACAUCAGUUUUUCUCUGACUGAUCCUUUGGGAACAGAGGAAGGGAACGGGGACCAGUCUUCCUUUGUUUCACCUGCAGAGGUGUUUGCUUUUCCUCAAGCCACACAGGAAGAUGGAGCUGAGCCACAUUCCUUCCAAUGUCCCCACGAGGAUUCUCUCCUGUCCCUUCCUAUCCAGUUCCUGGCUGUGUGCCCUUCCUCUCUAACUUGCUAGAAGCUAUAACUCUGGUCCCAACUGAAUUCAGCCCUUAGACCCUCUCCAGGUGUCCUGGACAGAACAGUCCUGAACAGAGCUGCUUAGGAUACAGGCACAGGAGAGACCAGAGCCCAUGGGUGCUUCUGGUCUCACCUUCUUAAGCAGCACAAACUCGUUCUCUGCAGCUGUACGUUGGGUAAUCUCAACCUCGUAUCUGUGGGAGAAGAGAGAGAUGGCAGAGGUUCUUUCUGUCAGGUAACCUCCUUUUUCUACUAAUGGGGCAAGCCCUGUAGCUGCUGGGAUCUCUGGGUAUCAUGAUUUGAGUGUUAAAUGUACCCUACAGACUCACAUGUUUGAACACUUGGUCCCCAGCACAUGGUACUGUUUUGAAGGUUGUGGAAGUUUCUAAUAUUGACUGGUAUCUGACUGUCUGCCAUAUGGCUGUGGAGUUAAAGCUUGACCUAUUUCUAGCCUCAGCUCUCUCUGCCCUUUGGUUGGUAGCAUGAAACAAGCCACUGCCACAAGGUUGCCAUUACCAUGGAGCUACCAGCUGCUGUGUCUCCCCUGCCAAGAAAAAUAGUAUCCCCUCAAACCACGAGCCAAGGUAAACUUCUCUUUCCUUACAUUGUUUCCUGUCAGGCAUUGGUAACAGUAACCAGAAACGUAACUGAUUUGCCAGAAGUGAGUGCUGACAGGCUCCUGGUAUAAGUAAGAAGUCCUUGGGUCCCCUCAUUAUAUCCCAGGAAAAUACCCAAAUGCCUACACAGAGUCCCUAACCAGCCACUAAGCAUCCAGAGGGCCGGUGAGCCCAGAAACUCCUACCUGUCACAGGGUGGGGACCUCCCGCAUAGCCAGAGACCACAUGAGCUGACCUCCUGACCCAGGAACCUUUGCUGGCCUGGUCCCCUCUUCUUGUAGUCCUCCACCACAUCCCUCAUCUUCCUCAGGUCUGGGUCCAGCCGUACCCUUUCCCCAGACAGCAUCUCUAGCUGUUUGCGAAGGUUGCUGAUGUGGGCUUCAUAAACAGGCUCCAGGUUCCUCCUGCAGUUACUCAGGUCCAGCUGCUGCAGCAGCUCCCACUUGGUCUGCAGCACCUGGUUCUGCUGCUCCAAGAAGCGCACCUGGAACCCAAACCCAUAGCCACCUGGAACCACACAGAUAUUGUGCCCCAUAGACGUACACCAUUGGCUUCCCAAAAGAAGGGGAGUUUUGUAAAACUCCCUAUGGGUUGAGCCCUGACUGCCCACCCUCAGAUAUCAUUAACAAAUUCUCUUUCCCCAGGGAUCAUUAACAAGUGCUCCUUCCUGGUCUUCUGAAUUCCCAGUCGCUUCACACUUACCUGGGAAGCAGCAUCCUAGUUUCUUCUGUGGCCUGACCCUGGACCCAGGAGAUAUUCUCCCUUGCAUCUAACUGUGCUGUGAACCCUGCCUUCUGGAUUGUGCUUGAUUCUCAGCUGUUUGUGUUCUUUAAAAAAAAACCUAAAGAUGCCCUCCACUAUUAGACUUUCAGGAACUCAACACUUCCCUC